GGUAGUAUGAUGGACAAACGAAAAUUCCCCUGUCUCUAUAAAGCCAAUGAAAAUUAAUCUUCAGGUGAAGAAGCCUGAAUUCUGUUAAAAGACAAAAAGACCCUAUUGAGCUUCAUUCUAAUGUUAAACUAAAAAAAUAAAAAUAAAAUCAAUUUUUAACAUAAAAAUUUUGCUGGGGCGGCAAAGGAACAACCAAAAAUUCCUUCUCUCUAAGACCUAUUCGUCAACAAAAUGAUCCAUAAUUUAUGAUUAAAAGAAAUAGCUACCAUAGGGAUAACAGGCUAAUUUUUCUCUAGAGCCCAAAUUGACAGAAAAGAUUGGCACCUCGA
rnacentral:rRNA from 1 species